CCAGCCCGGAGUCCGCACACUCUACCAGGUCCUGGUAUCAGUGAGAGAUCAGCUGGAGCGCUUUACUGAGAAGCAGGUGGGCUUUGCUGAGCUGGUGCGGGAGGCGGGGCUCUACCUGCUGGCCAGGGAUCAGGCCCUGACAGAGAGAGAGCGAACGGGAGAGAAUGGAGAGAGCUGGUUUCCCAUUGGUCAAGUGCUGAGGCCCCUCCCGCGGUGUCCCAAGAUCCCGCCGGUGUGGCGGAGUCGUGUCUACGCCACCGUUCUCUUCGGAGAGUUCCUGAAAGAGCUGGCCGCUCUCGCGCAGGAGCACGCCACCGUGCUGGACCCGACUGGGGAGUAGCUCCACCUGGGAGGGGCUCUGGACACGCGGCCAUCUUUGUCCCACGCUCAAGCGCCCUCCUGAGCCUGACUUUCACUCCUUUAAAUGUCUGUGGAGCUCUCCCUCAACAUCCGUCACACUCAGCAGGCGUGUAACACUUAACAUCUGGAACACCCACUCAGAUCGUCCUCCCUUUGGUUUCUCACACUCCCUCUGUCACCUUGCUGUCCAUUCCACCUCUACCCCUUUCUCUCUGUCUCUCUCUCUCUCCCUUCUGCUACUCCAUCUAUAGCCUUGACUGACUUUGACUGAUUUUGUUUCAUAACUCACAGUCACCACGCUCACGUGUCCCUGUGUCUUCAGUCUCCCAGUCUGCACUUUCCUUUACUGCCUUCACAAUCUCUAUCCAGCCUUUACACUUGCAGAGACACUCUGGGGCAGAUGUAUUAACACGUUAGCGCCUGCAUAAUUCCGACACCGCGUGCACCUAAAAACAUGGCGGGUGCGUACGAACAGACCGCUCGUGGCUAAAACCGCAUUCUACCUGCAGCAGGAGCGCAGAAUGUCAAGUCGCACUCUUCUGACUUAUACAUAUACAUGCGUGGGAGAGAUGAGGGAAAAGUGGGAUUUUUGGGCAAAAUUAUGGGAGGAGAAGCGCCAGUGACUGGUUGCGUAUUCUGUUGUAUGCUUGAAAACUGCGGGGGACAGCGCACGUCUGUUUUGUGGUGAAAAUUGUCCCGGUGUAAUCACGAUUGUGCGUUUCAUGCGUGAAUAGGAGAAACUUGCAGAAACAAUGGAAGAAGUAUUUUGAUCAUUUGUCCCAUGUUAAAAAUAACUUUUACUUUUGUUUGCCUCUCUGUCUUGCCAUCUCUUUUCCACUCCAUACACUUCCCUACGUGUAAAUGCCUGACGCUGAUGAGUUAGUUAUUGUUAUAGUCGCACAAAUAGUGUUUUUUUUUUUUGGAGUGGUGUAGAAUUACUGCACUGUAUUGCGAUUAUGUUUGAUGACAUCUUAUAAGCAUCUAUAUCUAUUUCCUGGUUGACGGUUCAACGAUCCCAUUCAAUUACACCUGUAAUUGAGUGAUUCCAUCCAGUUGUGGGCUCCAAAAA